rnacentral:rRNA from 1 species
AACGCUUCUUUCCUCCCGAGUGCUUGCACUCAAUUGGAAAGAGGAGUGGCGGACGGGUGAGUAACACGUGGGUAACCUACCCAUCAGAGGGGGAUAACACUUGGAAACAGGUGCUAAUACCGCAUAACAGUUUAUGCCACAUGGCAUAAGAGUGAAAGGCGCUUUCGGGUGUCGCUGAUGGAUGGACCCGCGGUGCAUUAGCUAGUUGGUGAGGUAACGGCUCACCAAGGCCACGAUGCAUAGCCGACCUGAGAGGGUGAUCGGCCACACUGGGACUGAGACACGGCCCAGACUCCUACGGGAGGCAGCAGUAGGGAAUCUUCGGCAAUGGACGAAAGUCUGACCGAGCAACGCCGCGUGAGUGAAGAAGGUUUUCGGAUCGUAAAACUCUGUUGUUAGAGAAGAACAAGGACGUUAGUAACUGAACGUCCCCUGACGGUAUCUAACCAGAAAGCCACGGCUAACUACGUGCCAGCAGCCGCGGUAAUACGUAGGUGGCAAGCGUUGUCCGGAUUUAUUGGGCGUAAAGCGAGCGCAGGCGGUUUCUUAAGUCUGAUGUGAAAGCCCCCGGCUCAACCGGGGAGGGUCAUUGGAAACUGGGAGACUUGAGUGCAGAAGAGGAGAGUGGAAUUCCAUGUGUAGCGGUGAAAUGCGUAGAUAUAUGGAGGAACACCAGUGGCGAAGGCGGCUCUCUGGUCUGUAACUGACGCUGAGGCUCGAAAGCGUGGGGAGCAAACAGGAUUAGAUAACCUGGUAGUCCACGCCGUAAACGAUGAGUGCUAAGUGUUGGAGGGUUUCCGCCCUUCAGU